UUUCCGUGGGUGAACCUGCGGAAGGAUCAUUACAGAGUUCAUGCCCUCACGGGUAGAUCUCCCACCCUUGAAUAUUUAUACCUUAGUUGCUUUGGCAGGCCGUGGAAACACCAUGGGCUCCGGCUUAUGCGUGCCUGCCAGAGGAAACAAACUCUGUUUUUAGUGAUGUCUGAGUACUAUAUAAUAGUUAAAACUUUCAACAACGGAUCUCGUGGUUCUG
rnacentral:misc_RNA from 1 species